rnacentral:rRNA from 1 species
CAAAAGCGUAUAUUAAAGUUGUUGCAGUUAAAAAGCUCGUAGUUGAACCUUGGGCUUGGCUGGCCGGUCCAUCUUUUUUGGUGCGUACUGGACCCAGCCGAGCCUUUCCUUCUGGCUAGCCUUUUGGCGAACCAGGACUUUUACUUUGAAAAAAUUAGAGUGUUCAAAGCAGGCCUUUGCUCGAAUAUAUUAGCAUGGAAUAAUAGAAUAGGACGUUAUGGUUCUAUUUUGUUGGUUUCUAGGACCAUCGUAAUGAUUAAUAGGGACGGUCGGGGGUAUCAGUAUUCAGUUGUCAGAGGUGAAAUUCUUGGAUUUACUGAAGACUAACUACUGCGAAAGCAUUUACCAAGGACGUUUUCAUUAA